rnacentral:tRNA from 1 species
GCAGUGAUGGCCGAGUGGUUAAGGCGUCUGACUAGAAAUCAGAUGGGAUCUCCGCGUAGGUUCGAAUCCUACUCACUGCG